rnacentral:snRNA from 1 species
GUGCUCACUUCGGCAGCACAUAUACUAAAGUUGGAACAUACAGAGAAGAUUAGUAUGGCUCCUGUGUAUGGAUGACACACAAAUUUAUGAAGCAGUCCAUAUUUUU